UUCCUCUAAUUUGCGGAAGAGGCUGAAAAUCUCGGGAGACCAUGUGUGGUCAUCAGCUUCAUCUCUUGUUCCUACGAGAUGGGAGUUAAAUAAUGACACACGAUUC
rfam:Triticum aestivum genome assembly, contig: Triticum_aestivum_CS42_TGACv1_scaffold_580313_7BL